GAGAGAGAGAGAGAGAGAGAGAGAGAGAGAGAGAGACGGACAGACAGAGAAACUGGUAGGUAUGAAGGUGCGGUGUGUGUGUGUGCAUGUAUGUGUGUGCGCGUGCGUGUGUGUGUGAGUGUGUGUGUGUGUGUGUGUGUGUGUGCGCGUGUGUUCCCUGUUGCAGGGAGAGUUUUCCGCUCCCUGCUGGACAAGAGGAUGUGCUGCUACAAUGUGGUGGCUGCUGAUAAGAGCCUCAAAGCUGCCUGUGGCCUACAGAUAAGAAACCUCCACUGCCCCCCACCCACAAUACCAACACCAAGUCCCCACCACCACAACAAUCACACACACUUUUCAUAACACACAGACAGCUUGAGGUAUGCACACGCGUGCGCAGACACACACACACGCACAUGCUUCUCAUGGUCAGUAGUAGACUGAUUGGAUUGCAAUCAGCCUACUGCACACACCUCGUUCAUACAUGAUUAUGCUCGUACUAAAAAUAUGGGAGUAUAUUAAAAAAAAACAGCAACUUGAUUAUUGCUUUGACACUCAGGUGAAAACAGGAACAUGUAUGUGAUUAUACAGUACAAUACAGAUCUGUUCUAAAAAUAAGCAAUAGGCGUCAAUGCUAAUGCGACUGUCUUGUUUUAAUGUUAGCUAUAGUAUAGGUGCAAUAAAAAAGAGCAGGACUCACCUAUUGUACAAAUACGUGGCAAACUUCCUUGUGCAGUUGAGACAGUUCGGAGAGAGGUCCUUUUGAGAAAAUUUGAAGUUUUUAGGUGGGCCUAAUAGUUCAAAAAAUACGGUAUUCCAUACGUACACACUGGUAAAAAAAAAAAACAUCUUAUAGCUCCAAAAAAAUGAGAGCAUGAUAGAGAAAAACAGUUUUGGAUUCUGCACCCUAAAAUAGCUGUCAGGAAAAACAAAAUGGCGUUCCCCAGUGUAAUCUGCCGAUGUUCGUCAGGGAGCUAAAGUGUGUCUGUGUGUGUUUGUGUGUGUCUCACAGGAUGGAACAUUUUUCAUUCAUGGUACUUGAGUGGGAAUUUGGGAUGUGUUGGCAUUGAGCACCUGUGUCGCUGAUGGCCAAUAAGCGUCGUCAUCAUGGCCACUUUCCUCUCCAACUUCCUUCCUAAAUGUGCCUCAUCAUAGCUGCUCUUUGUUCUCGGGCGAGCGAUGGUCGUCUGCUGCUGUCGCAACCUGGAGGUCAGCACCUCUUUUCCAUUCCCUCCGUGGUUUCCUCCUCAGACGCUCACCCGCACACACUCAUGAUGUCCACUCUACUGUAAUGUGACCUUGGAGGUCCUGGGAAAGACAAGGCUUUGCUGAGUAACUGCGUGACAAAUCUGUCAUCAGCACCAUACUGUACCCUGUGCUCGUCAUCAUCAUCAUCAUCAUCAUCAUCAUAAUGGCUGAGGUCCACCGUGUGUCUGCUGGUGGGCCGCUUGUGCGCGGGUGGUCCGGUCCAGAUGGAGGAGGGACGGAUUAACGCCACGCGUCCCCUGAAGGAGAGGUGGGCGGGGCGUAAUCGAGAAAUGGAGACUUCCUGGUUUGGCCUUCACCCGAUGCUGCUUGUUUGGACAUCGCCAGUGUGGAAAAACAACAUUAGUGUGAGUUACCUGCAACUGUUAAAUGUUAUUUUGGUUUAUGCUGUGCUUGUUAGCUUUAUUAGAGUUCAUCUCACCCUGUGUGUUUGUGUGUGUUUGUGUGUGAGUGUAACAACGUUGCUCUUGUGUAGCAGAACGAGUGAAUGUUGUUGCAGUGCACGCUGCACAGGUU